AUCCUCAAACAUUAAUUUGAGCUGAAGCUGAGCACCCUUGGAAGAUGCAUUUGCUGCUGCAAUAACAGAGUAACUGCAUAAAAUAAUUGUCUCCUGUCUCUCAAAGUCAAAAUCUGAGGAUGCUGUUGAAUGGACAGUCAAGAACCACCCCCCCCCUUCACUGCGGACACACUGUGCUUCCAGGGCAUGCACAUACAGGCUCUCAGCUGACACUGAACUGAACAGAGACAGACUUCCCGGAGGCUGGGUUGCCGCUUCCUACCGUCUGCUCUACCUGUAGGGCCCUCCAGUUAGAAAUGAGGGUGCUGACUUCCUGCUCAGUCUGGGAAUUUUACCUUUCGAGCUGGCCUCCGAAGGAGCGUCCUCUGCUUCCUCCGGCAACAACCCAGGGGCAAAAGAUGAAGAGGCCACAUCCCAGGCAUCGCAACGGACACCGCGCCUUAAAGCUGCGACUCCUUCCCGACGCCAGAGUCAACAGCACAGGGGCUGUGCUCUCUCUUCGCAGGGCACCUGGGCCUGCGGCUGGGCACAUCGUGAGCAGAAAGAACUUGCAGGAGAACUUCUUCCGCCCUGGAGGACCAGGGGCCUGUGUCGACUGUGGGAAGCCAGAAGCCUCAUCACUCGCCAAGAAGGACCCCUUCCUGGUUGAUGGAAACAUGCCAGACUUAAAGCCCCUAAGCACUCCUGGGCAGUUGCAGGCUAAAUUUAGAGCAGGCGGGCUCAGGGUUACUGCUAUGACCCCUGAUAAAGGGAGCAAACACUAA
rnacentral:lncRNA from 1 species